rnacentral:piRNA from 1 species
UCUCUUGCUCGUCGGCGGUCCAUAGCCU